CGAAGGCGGAUCUGAGCAAGUAGGCCGCUGGGCUGUGGCCAAUACCACACCAGGAACAGCAGAGGGCGCUGUCCGAAUGGCUGUGGCGUGUUACUGCCUGAUAACUUCAGAUUCCGCAUAUUUAUUUUGCCUUGGACGCGGUUCUUGCGUAACUCUUGAACGAAGUACCACUCAAAACAACAAAAAACGCCCGGACUGGUGUGCAGGAGUGCACUAGAGUUUGUUUCUCGACGCGGUUUCUUGUCGUUAAAUCGAAAAAAAACCAGUCCCACCCAACAGAGACCCACAGGAGUAAAAUUUAUAUUUUAACUUUUUAUUUCGACAGCAAAAUAAAAUACAAUACAAGCAAGAGUACAUAUAACAUAACAUAACAAUAUCAUCGUCAGGAGAACAUAUUACAGUACCUAUACACAUUAUGAAUAAACGUUUAAACAGAAUAAAGAUAAGAUCCAUGCUCAUGUUUUUACAUUUCGAAAAAGUCUGCAAAUACGCCUUUACAUCUAUUUAAAAAUGUUCAUAGGACAACAUAGGAGUCUUCCCAGACCCUUUCACUUGACAUAAAUAAUAACGUGCAGGAAUAAUAAUUAAGUCAAUUACAAAGGAUAUAUUCGUGUUAUUUCCAAUUCAAUUGAAGCUUAACAUGAUGUCCAUUUCUUAAAAAAAAAUCAAUAUUAGCUUCUUCUUUUAACAUACGUUUUCAAUUCAGUCCCGAAGGUUUUUACAAUAGGACACAACCAAAAUAAACGUUGAAUGGUAUCAAAAGGCACAGUUAUCAUCUAGAUUAAUUUUAAAUCUCUGCACAAGGGUCUUUCCGGCCUCAAAGUCCUCAUGCUCACCUAUAAGGCUCUGUAUGACCUGUCUGAUACUAUCAUCCUACUCCCCACCUCACAACCCUCACUCAACCCACUCUUCUGAUUCUGGUCUCCUAUCUGUCCCCCCAAAACCCAUCUACACUCGAGGGGGUGACAGGACCUUCCCCUGCUGCGAAUCUGGUGUGUUUUUUAUGGUUAUCAUUCUGUCAAGCGCUUGGAGAAGCCAC